UACGGAGGGAGCUAGCGUUGUUCGGAAUUACUGGGCGUAAAGCGUACGUAGGCGGUUACUCAAGUCAGAGGUGAAAGCCCGGGGCUCAACCCCGGAACUGCCUUUGAAACUAGGUAGCUAGAAUCUUGGAGAGGCGAGUGGAAUUCCGAGUGUAGAGGUGAAAUUCGUAGAUAUUCGGAAGAACACCAGUGGCGAAGGCGACUUUCUGGCCUGUUCUUGACGCUGAGGCGCGAAAGCUAGGGGAGCAAACGGG
rnacentral:rRNA from 1 species